UGAGAGACAAGCUCAAAUAUUCUCCGAGGAGUGCAAAUUUUUCCCUGAUGAUAUAUAAAUUCAGUCCGUAUAUCCAUUGCCUGAUGUUUCUGAAUUGGAAAAAAAACUUUCUGAACAAUCAAAGAUACUCUUAAGUCUUCAACAGAAGGUUGACGAUUUGGCAUCAAAGUGUUAGAGUUAGAAAUGGCAGCGAGACAAAUGGAAGAGAUACAGAGGAAGCUGGUGAUGCUGAAUUGAUCGAGAG